rnacentral:rRNA from 1 species
CCUACGGGGGGCUGCAGUGGGGAAUAUUGGACAAUGGGGGCAACCCUGAUCCAGCCAUGCCGCGUGUGUGAAGAAGGCCCUCGGGUUGUAAAGCACUUUCAGUGAGGAAGAACGCCUGGUGGUUAAUACCCAUCAGGAAAGACAUCACUCACAGAAGAAGCACCGGCUAACUCCGUGCCAGCAGCCGCGGUAAUACGGAGGGUGCGAGCGUUAAUCGGAAUUACUGGGCGUAAAGCGCGCGUAGGUGGCUUGAUAAGCCGGUUGUGAAAGCCCCGGGCUCAACCUGGGAACGGCAUCCGGAACUGUCAAGCUAGAGUGUAGGAGAGGAAGGUAGAAUUCCCGGUGUAGCGGUGAAAUGCGUAGAGAUCGGGAGGAAUACCAGUGGCGAAGGCGGCCUUCUGGACUGACACUGACACUGAGGUGCGAAAGCGUGGGUAGCAAACAGGAUUAGAUACCCGGGUAGUC